rnacentral:RNase_P_RNA from 1 species
CCGGAGGACCGUUCUAUCGCGCUAUGAUUCUCAUAGUGAGGAAAGUCCGGGCUGGAUAGGGCACCGCGCUGCGGAAAGCGCAGAUAGCCGAAAGGUUAUGGAUGGCGUAACAGAAAAUAACCGCUCAAUCCGUAAAGGUUUGGGUAAGGGUGAAAAGGCGGGGUAAGAGCCCACCGUUUAACGUAGCGAUGCGUUAUGGCGUACGUCUCCGCGGCCUGCAAGGCCAUGUAUAUCGGUAAAUGGGGGUUGCCCGCCCUCGCCGAGGGGUAGGCCGCUUAGAUAAAUGAUAGAAACCGGUAGGGAAACCUAUCGGUACAGAACCCGGCUUACAGGUCCUCCUUUUUU